rnacentral:sRNA from 1 species
CUUCAGCGGGGGCCUGGGACACAGAGGUGGGCCAGACCCCUGGGCCAGUGCCACUGCCAGAAAUCAACGACCGGGAGCAGAAGUUGCAUGCCCUUAAGGAGGUAUUAAAGAAAUUUCCAAAGGAAAACCACGAAGUCUUCAAGUAUGUCAUCUCUCACCUAAACAAGUAAGUCGCAGGGCCUUCUGGUUGGUUUUUCCUCCUGAAAAUUGACAGCCAGGGUCAGUGUGUCGCAGAACAAGGCUCUGUCCACAAGCCAGUAGAAGCCUCAGGCCCUGGCCUGGAAGGGGUGCUGGCUGGCCUCCCAUGGUGCCCGCUGGUCUCAGUGCCCAGAGCCUCUGCCUCUCGCCCAUCCUCAGGCCUCCCUCCUGCUCCUGUCUGAGGGCAGCCCACGUGGCCUCAAACCUGCCUAACACCAGAUAGUGCACUUAGCUCCAGCGGGCAUGGGGCCUCUUGUAGGCCUGUGUCCCAAAGCCGGCAGAGAGAGAAGAUCUUCUGGUUGGUGCUGAUGCUCCAGAAAUCUUCUCCUGAAUCAAAAACACCUCAGAGUCCCUGAAAGUCCUCUCACAGCAUU